UACGUAGGUGGCAAGCGUUGUCCGGAAUUACUGGGUGUAAAGCGCGUGUAGGCGGCAGACCAAGUCGGCGGUGAAAGCGCCCGGCUCAACUGGGCGAGGUCCGUUGAAACUGGUCAGCUGGAGGACGGUAGAGGCGAGUGGAAUUCCCGGUGUAGUGGUGAAAUGCGCAGAUAUCAGGAAGAACACCCGUGGCGAAGGCGGCUCUCUGGGACGGUACUGACGCUGAGACGCGAAAGCGUGGGGAGCGAACAGG
rnacentral:rRNA from 1 species